rnacentral:piRNA from 1 species
UAAAAUACUAGGGAAAAUGCCAGCUACA